AUGCUCCUGUUGCUCAUACUAGUGCUGGGGAUGAUUUUUGCCCUGAGAGAUGCCAGAGCCCAGUCUGUGAGCCAGCAUAACCACCAUGUAAUUCUCUCUGAAGCGGCCUCACUGGAGUUGAGAUGCAACUAUUCCUAUGGUGGAACUGUUAAUCUCUUCUGGUAUGUCCAGUACCCUGGUCAACACCUUCAGCUUCUCCUCAAGUACUUUUCAGGGGAUCCACUGGUUAAAGGCAUCAAGGGCUUUGAGGCUGAAUUUAUAAAGAGUAAAUUCUCCUUUAAUCUGAGGAAACCCUCUGUGCAGUGGAGUGACACGGCUGAGUACUUCUGUGCCAUGAAUGCCACAGUGUCUGGGACUGCAAAGGGAGCUGAACACAAACUUCGUAAGGUGCUAGGGAGAAUAACUGCCUCUGAAAGAUUUUGGAUUCUGACACACCAUGAUGUUCUUAUUCCACAGUACAGAGAUGCUCAGGGACUUGCCAGGCCCGCCUUCUUGGGUUCUGCAAACUACUGCAGCCCUCAGCGCCUUCUGGCGGCUGCCGUUCUUCUCCCUCUGCGACAUCCAUUUCCUCCCAAAGGCACGGUGUCCUCCGCAGCUCGGCGAGGGCUUCGCCAAGGCGCAGCAGGAUUUCUAGAUGUUCUAAAGUGCUUUAUAGCCCAGCGAGGUCUGGGCCCAGAGAGGCUGCCGCCAUCAGCUCACUGA